AACGAACGCUGGCGGCGUGGAUUAGGCAUGCAAGUCGUACGCGAAAGAGGGGGCAACCCCUCGAGUAGAGUGGGCGAACGGGUGAGUAGCGCGUGAAGAACCUGCCCUCAGCAGGGGGAUAACACUCCCAACGGGGUGCUAAUACCGCAUGAGACCACGGGGGCCGCAUGGUCCCGAGGUCAAAGGUGGCCUCUGCUUGCAAGCUACCGGCUGAGGAUGGCUUCGCGUCCCAUUAGCUAGUUGGCGGUGUAAUGGACCACCAAGGCGACGAUGGGUAGCUGGUCUGAGAGGAUGGUCAGCCACACUGGGACUGAGAUACGGCCCAGACUCCUACGGGAGGCAG
rnacentral:rRNA from 1 species